CCUACGGGGGGCAGCAGUCGAGAAUCAUUCACAAUGGGGGAAACCCUGAUGGUGCGACGCCGCGUGGGGGAAUGAAGUUCUUCGGAUUGUAAACUCUUGUCUUGGGGGAGCAAAUUAAAAAGAUAGUACCACAAGAGGAAGAGACGUCUAACUCUGUGCCAGCAGCCGCGGUAAUACAGAGGUCUCAAGCGUUGUUCGGAAUCACUGGGCGUAAGGGGUGCGUAGGCUGUUUCGUAAGUCGUGUGUGAAAGGCACGGGCUCAACCCGCGGACUGCACAUGAUAUUGCGAGACUAGAGUAAUGGAGGGGGAACCGGAAUUCUCGGUGUAGCAGUGAAAUGCGUAGAUAUCGAGAGGAACACUAGUGGCGAAGGCGGGUUCCUGGACAUUAACUGACGCUGAGGCACGAAGGCCAGGGGAGCGAAAGGGAUUAGAUACCCGGGUAGUC
rnacentral:rRNA from 1 species